GGACCUCAAGGUGUCUGCUAAAUGCAGCAUUACUGGGUAAGCAAAUUGUGAGAGUUAAACUGGCUGAUGCAAUGAAGUUUAAUAGUCGUUCAAAUGGGUUUUGCUAGCUCAAGCUGGCCAAGCAUUUAAAAGUACAUCUUUUCCCAGAGCCCACACUCAGUCAGGAGGCAACGUGACAAGAAAACCAAUAGGUGCGUUCUGAAUUAGAGUUACCUCCCAGGAGGGAACCCAAGCGAAGGCAGCCAGUCGCUAUCAUUGUGAAGGUGGACUCUGAUCCUGCAGUUUACUCCAUUACUACAAAGGGGCCAAAUUCAGAGCCGAGGCUAAAGAAGUGAGUCUAAGCGAGUGGUCACCAACCAGUUUAUCGGCAUCUACCUGUAGAUCUUGGAGCCUCUGACAGACUCGUUCACACAUACCACAUGGAAAAGAGAGGCCCUUGGAUUAUUGCUAAAUCUGUAUCUUGUGGCCACAUCCUAGCUAGGCCC